rnacentral:lncRNA from 1 species
GAGCUGUUCGAUGAGCAUAAAUCAGGGAUGCAAGAGUUUCUCUGGACUGUUGGUGGCGGCGCCACUGGCAGCAUAUUCCUAUAUGUUGUUGCCAUUGCCUGGUGCAAGCACAAACGUUUGCUGGAGUAAUAUAAUCCUGCUGUGUAUCAGUAAAGAAGCAAUUGAUUUCAGGAGCUGUUGUGUCGAUGGAUUUGCUAUGUACAAACAUAAACGCACCCUUUGAUAAGCUGGAGCAUGCAUCCUGUUUUUUGUGAAUACUAUGAGAUAUGCUUCGAGUGCACGGAACAUUAAUAUUUAAUAUUUAAUACACUUUCUACGUGCCUGAAGAUUCGUAAUUGAUAAUGUAAUGUGAUCACUAUCAACUAUUCUAAUGAGCAACGUAGCAGUUGACGGAAACGUAUUUUUAAUAAAUAUCAUUAGUUCGCUUCCAAAAGUUUUCGUUUCGACUCUUGUCAAUGAUGCUGCCACUCGAUUAAUUAAUUAAAAUUUUCAGAUAUCUUGCAAUUAAACAAAUUUAUCAUGUUCGUGCAAUUUAAGUUGAUUAAAAAUCUGCAGUCAGCGUACUACAAACGGAUCAAACAGCAUUGACCAUGAGAAUCCACCCGCCACGAUCUAGACCUGAACAUGAAAACAACCCUGAUCCGACGCAACAGCCGACCACUAACCUGGCAGUCACCUCGGUUGGGGGGGUCCGGAAGAAGGUAGCCGGAGUUCGACCCUGGUUGGUUUU